GCAAUGAUGAAUGCUGAGUUUUUGAAUAACGCUGAAAAAAACUUGUCCUCUAAGAAGUUCUGAGCUU
rnacentral:snoRNA from 1 species